AAACCUUCUCCCUUUUUCUGAAACAAUAGCAUAACAUCACAACAUAGAAAAACAUACGAUAAAAUAUCAAUUGGCAGGCUUAACUCAAUAAAAAAACGCACAUUAAUACACUAUAAACGAAUAAAUUUGAUCUGCGAUAUCUGAAUGCAAAUGCACAGUUAAUAAAAUAUUAGGGACAAACAUUCAAGGCCAAAAAGCAAACAAACAAGUCCAAAC
rnacentral:lncRNA from 1 species